GGGACACGUGGUAUCCUGUCUGAAUAUGGGGGGACCAUCCUCCAAGGCUAAAUACUCCUGACUGACCGAUAGUGAACCAGUACCGUGAGGGAAAGGCGAAAAGAACCCCGGCGAGGGGAGUGAAAAAGAACCUGAAACCGUGUACGUACAAGCAGUGGGAGCACCUUCGGGUGUGACUGCGUACCUUUUGUAUAAUGGGUCAGCGACUUAUAUUCUGUAGCAAGGUUAACCGUAUAGGGGAGCCGCAGGGAAACCGAGUCUUAACUGGGCGUUAAGUUGCAGGGUAUAGACCCGAAACCCGGUGAUCUAGCCAUGGGCAGGUUGAAGGUUGGGUAACACUAACUGGAGGACCGAACCGACUAAUGUUGAAAAAUUAGCGGAUGACUUGUGGCUGGGGGUGAAAGGCCAAUCAAACCGGGAGAUAGCUGGUUCUCCCCGAAAGCUAUUUAGGUAGCGCCUCGUGAAUUCAUCUUCGGGGGUAGAGCACUGUUUCGGCUAGGGGGUCAUCCCGACUUACCAACCCGAUGCAAACUACGAAUACCGAAGAAUGUUAUCACGGGAGACACACGGCGGGUGCUAACGUCCGUCGUGAAGAGGGAAACAACCCAGACCGCCAGCUAAGGUCCCAAAGUCAUGGUUAAGUGGGAAACGAUGUGGGAAGGCACAGACAGCCAGGAUGUUGGCUUAGAAGCAGCCAUCAUUUAAAGAAAGCGUAAUAGCUCACUGGUCGAGUCGGCCUGCGCGGAAGAUGUAACGGGGCUAAACCAUGCACCGAAGCUGCGGCAGCGACACUAUGUGUUGUUGGGUAGGGGAGCGUUCUGUAAGCCUGCGAAGGUGACCUGUGAGGGUUGCUGGAGGUAUCAGAAGUGCGAAUGCUGACAUAAGUAACGAUAAAGCGGGUGAAAAGCCCGCUCGCCGGAAGACCAAGGGUUCCUGUCCAACGUUAAUCGGGGCAGGGUGAGUCGACCCCUAAGGCGAGGCCGAAAGGCGUAGUCGAUGGGAAACAGGUUAAUAUUCCUGUACUUGGUGUUACUGCGAAGGGGGGACGGAGAAGGCUAUGUUAGCCGGGCGACGGUUGUCCCGGUUUAAGCAUGUAGGCUGGUUAUCCAGGCAAAUCCGGAUAAUCAAGGCUGAGGUGUGAUGACGAGGCACUACGGUGCUGAAGUAACAAAUGCCCUGCUUCCAGGAAAAGCCUCUAAGCAUCAGGUAACAUCAAAUCGUACCCCAAACCGACACAGGUGGUCAGGUAGAGAAUACCAAGGCGCUUGAGAGAACUCGGGUGAAGGAACUAGGCAAAAUGGUGCCGUAACUUCGGGAGAAGGCACGCUGGUGUGUAGGUGAAGUCCC
rnacentral:rRNA from 1 species